UACGUAGGGGGCAAGCGUUGUCCGGAAUUAUUGGGCGUAAAGAGCGUGUAGGCGGUCCGGUAAGUCAGCUGUGAAAGUCAAGGGCUCAACCCUUGAAUGCCGGUUGAUACUGUCGGGCUCGAGUCCGGAAGAGGCGAGUGGAAUUCCUGGUGUAGCGGUGGAAUGCGCAGAUAUCAGGAGGAACACCAAUAGCGAAGGCAGCUCGCUGGGACGGUACUGACGCUAAGGCGCGAAAGCGUGGGGAGCGAACAGG
rnacentral:rRNA from 1 species